UCCGAGGCCGAUUUACGGGACGUCACGUGGUGGCGUCGCCAUGACCACCGAAAGCGGCGUGCUCCGAGGCAGCUGCAGGAGGCGACGUCUCUAUGGCAACCACUGACAGCUCUCCUGUCACAGCUGAGCCUCAGAGAUGGCCAAAUGUCUCAGCACUGCAUGCAGUUACACAUUACCUUCCGGGAUUGUGUACUGCUGGGGAAACACAGAAAUAUUUCUCUGUGUAUAUAUAGCAAUAUAUGGGACAAUUCGAUAUAUGGUCCUGAUACCAAGCUGUCAUCGACUGGAUUGUACCAUUCCAAACAAGAGCUUCAUCGUAAAGUACAAGGAACAUUCACGCUUCACAGUCUCCAGACUUAAUCCCCAUCAAGCUGGUUUACAAUGAACUGGACAGAAGGAUGAAAGCAAAAGCAACUUAAGUGCAACGCAUUUGUGGGAACUCCUGCAGUAGUACUGGGAAGAACUUCCCGAACAACAUUUCAUUUCCAUUGCAGAAAGAAUGUCACAAGUGUGCUCGGUGGCUAUAUCUGUCACAGGUGACUGCGUUGAUAAGUCAGACAUCAAGAUUCAAGUUACCUAAACAAAAUAAUUAUAUUAUUUCUUUUUUAUCUGCA